GUGCAACGAAGUUGUUUGGUUUUUUUUUGUAAUUUUUUUUUGUGUGCAACAUUUGAAUUUUAAAGUGCGGAAUUCACGCCCAGUGCGCCACGCCCACAACACCAUCGUGUCGUUUUGUGCUAUGCAUGUGUUCAUUGUUGUGUCGCCGCGUGACAACGCCACUUUGAUUCGCCAUUGAAAUUGGAAUCCGCUUAUUCUGCCGACGCACCGCGCCAAAAAAUAAAUAAAUACCAAUAUAGUGAGUGAACAACGUUUCGUUGUAUGUGUGCGGAGCAUACAAAAUAAAAGCAAAACAAUAUUUUCCUAAUUUUCGCGCGCGCACGCGACCAAAGAAAAUCCAACAAAAAAAAAAAGAUAAAGAAAAAAGAAAGCCCAAAAGCAAAGAAAACUGUCAGCAACAGGCGGACGACGCUGUCAACUGAAGCGCAGCAGGAGCUCCACUCUCGCCUCAGAAAUGUGAGCGAGAAGGGAGAGUAGUAGCUCCACGAACUUCAGAUCAUAUGGUGUGGGUUUGCAAUGUUUCCUUUACCUUUUUGCGUUCAUCGUGGCCGUUUUGCUAUGCUUAACACCUCGUAAAUCUUCAUAACCUGGGCAGCAGAAGGAGCCGAAGGAGCAGCUACGCGCGCUGUCGCUUAUUGAAUCAGCUGCCUUUUGUCUAGAAGCCUUUAAACCAUUUUAGGCUUUUGUAAAUUUACCGCAAUUCUCACCCAAAAAUGCCGCAACGAAAUUCAAAGCUGAAACUUCGUGCACCUUGGCGUCGCCUGCUUUUGGGACAGUCAGGAAGUUGAAGACAUUUCCGUUAUGAAUACUGCGUACGAACGACGAAGAGCUAGCGAGAUAGAGCGAAAGAGCGGCAAAGAAGCAUAUUGCCACGGACGGAGAAGGAGGAGGUGGAGGCGGAGGUGGUGCCCCACAACCGGAGCCACAACAAACGCCGGAAUGCCAAACUUUUGCCUUUGAUGGCAAAGAAAAAAAACCGAGCGAAAAGGACGCAAUCAGGCAGCACACAGUGGUAAGAAUAUCCAAAUGCACAUCCAAAAACAGAAAACAUAUGUAAAUAAACGCA